rnacentral:rRNA from 1 species
CCCCCGGGGUAUUGCCCUCAGUAGCGGCGAGUGAAGCGGCAAAAGCUCAAAUUUGAAAUCUGGCGUCUUUGGCGUCCGAGUUGUAAUUUGAAGAAGGUAUCUUUGGGCCCGGCUCUUGUCUAUGUUCCUUGGAACAGGACGUCACAGAGGGUGAGAAUCCCGUGCGAUGAGAUGACCCGGGUCUGUGUAAAGUUCCUUCGACGAGUCGAGUUGUUUGGGAAUGCAGCUCUAAGUGGGUGGUAAAUUCCAUCUAAAGCUAAAUAUUGGCGAGAGACCGAUAGCGAACAAGUACAGUGAUGGAAAGAUGAAAAGAACUUUGAAAAGAGAGUGAAAAAGUACGUGAAAUUGUUGAAAGGGAAGGGCUUGAGAUCAGACUUGGUAUUUUGCAUGUUGCUCUCUCGGGGGCGGCCGCUGCGGUUUACCGGGCCAGCAUCGGUUUGGAGCGGCAGGAUAAUGGCGGAGGAAUGUGGCACGGCUUCUGCUGUGUGUUAUAGCCUCUGACGAUACUGCCAGCCUAGACCGAGGACUGCGGUUUUUACCUAGGAUGUUGGCAUAAUGAUCUUAAGUCGCCCGUCUUGAACCACGGACCA